AAAGCUGCUGCCCCUGCGAUCCGACCCCGGAUAAGCGAUGUCGUCUUCUGGUUGCAUCUUGGAUGUUUAGGACAGCACAGGCGACAGAGCCGGGCCACAUUCAGCCUCGCUUCCCCUCCUGAAGGAGCCUCUCAACCCGAGUUGGAUACCGGAUUGGAGCACAGCAAAACCCAAGGAGUUGGAAGAUAAACAAAUUGUGGCCACCUCCAUCAUUGAAGUUGCCCAUACCUGGUGCAGACCAUUAGGAUGCCCCCGCUGGCCAGGUAUGGGUACUGCACUUAGAAGUGUGCACUCCCUGCAAAAGGUCAAGGGUCAAAAGUAAAAUGGCCGCCACAAGUUAGUCACAUGUGAGGACUCGGUGGAAGCAAUGGAGAGUGCAUGAAAGUCGGCCUCUCGGCGAGCGACGGCUUUUCGCUGCGUUAUUUGGACAUUUGUUGGAUUGUUUUGAACCUGGAGACGUCAAAGGAGAGUUUGGAUAUCAACUUAUCAAGCGGGCAAAAAUGGACAAACAAUUGGACAAACAAUUGAAACGCCAAGGAGCAGCAGCUGCCGUGCGCAUUGAUAAAAGUCUCCUGGCGACCUCCAAGUGACAAGUCUUCCCCUCCCAACUCCCUCCGAAUCCACUGACAGCUUCCUCGACCAAUCAAAAUCCAGCUUUGGACUCGGCUGCGCUCUGAUUGGCCGAAAGGAGGCGCUUGGGUUGAUCUUGAGAAGUUCGGACUCUCCCCCCCGCUCCUUCCCUCUCUCCAUCCAGCUGUGUGAGCUUUCCUGAUGGACGGAACCGAGAGAACACAGUUCUGGAGGAGACAAGGGUGAGAGCGGCAGUGUCCGGUCGGCGACGAAGACGAAAGAUGCUCUGUCGCGUUUGAAGAAGAAAAAAAAAACAAAACAAAACAAAAAUGAACGCCGGAUUUUAUGCGUGAGGCUCGGCUGGACGCACGGCAACACUCUUGAUGGAUUUUUUUAAAACUGUGCUGCGGAAUAUGCGCUUCACAAGAACGCCCGUGGAUUCAAUGAAAAGUGUUGGAGCGUGUUUUAUUUAGAAAAGGAAAGCCCGCGGAAACGGUUUCAGCCUUUUUCGGAGGGGAUUCGGCUGAAGCAAAGCAUUCAAAAGAAGUUGUUCGAAGACAAAGAAAAGGCUUCGCGUUGCAGAAACGGACCCAAAACCUGUUCAAAGUAUUUAUUGGUGGAUGGUUAUACAGUGUUACUGUGAUCCCCGUGCGGAGAGCUUUGAGCACCGGGGCUCCGCUCAGGGGCCUCUCUGCGCACCGCACUGAGGCUGCAGAGACGGACCAAGUGCGCCCAGAUAUCCACUUGGGAACUCUGCGAUCCUCCAAACCCGACAGCACAUCGAUUUUCUGAAACCCUCCUCGGCAAGAAAAGGUUCUUUCUGCAAGCUGGUGUGGACUUUGCAGCCACCAAACUGAUCAUGCGAUGACUGAACGCGCAUUGGAGGCAUCAAGCGAGUCCAAAUCAGGGGGGGAAUGAUGGCAGAGGAUGGGGGGAAUCUCUCCGGGACCCCUGACUCCAGGGGCUCGGAGGGCCGCUCAUCUCUGCCGAGGACUUUCAUCCGGCUCAACGACUUAUCCGGGGACGUGGCCGGAGGAGGUGAGGAACGGACCGAGGUGAUGGUGGAACCGGCCUCCCCGGCUCCUGAUGGGACUUCUUCCGCCGGGGAUGAAGAGUCAGCCUGCGGCGAGGAAAGUCUACCUUACCCCACCCUGGCCCCGGUGGUCUUCUUCUACAUGAAACAGAGCACCCGUCCUCGGAGCUGGUGUCUCAAGAUGGUCUGUAACCCAUAUCCUUUCAAAAACAAUAAAAAUCAGUUUCUGGUCACCUUACAGGUAAGAUACCUGUUUGUACUUGAUGCGGCUUUUUUUGAGUUGAGCCCUGAAGGCAUGAGGAGGUGUGCUGUGUGAAAGACUGAGCAA